UGGGGAAUAUUGGACAAUGGGGGCAACCCUGAUCCAGCCAUGCCGCGUGAGUGAAGAAGGCCUUAGGGUUGUAAAGCUCUUUCGGCGGGGACGAUGAUGACGGUACCCGCAGAAGAAGCCCCGGCUAACUCCGUGCCAGCAGCCGCGGUAAUACGGAGGGGGCGAGCGUUGUUCGGAAUUACUGGGCGUAAAGCGCACGUAGGCGGCGUGUCAAGUCGGGGGUGAAAGGCCUGGGCUUAACCUGGGAACUGCCCUUGAUACUGGCAUGCUGGAGUCCGGGAGGGGGUUGCGGAAUUCCCAGUGUAGAGGUGAAAUUCGUAGAUAUUGGGAAGAACACCGGUGGCGAAGGCGGCCACCUGGCCCGGUACUGACGCUGAGGUGCGAAAGCGUGGGGAGCAAACA
rnacentral:rRNA from 1 species